rnacentral:rRNA from 1 species
UGGGGAAUAUUGGACAAUGGGCGAAAGCCUGAUCCAGCCAUGCCGCGUGUGUGAAGAAGGUCUUCGGAUUGUAAAGCACUUUAAGUUGGGAGGAAGGGCGGUAAGCGAAUACCUUGCUGUUUUGACGUUACCGACAGAAUAAGCACCGGCUAACUCUGUGCCAGCAGCCGCGGUAAUACAGAGGGAGCAAGCGUUAAUCGGAAUUACUGGGCGUAAAGCGCGCGUAGGUGGUUCGUUAAGUUGAAUGUGAAAGCCCCGGGCUCAACCUGGGAACUGCAUCCAAAACUGGCGAGCUAGAGUAGGGCAGAGGGUGGUGGAAUUUCCUGUGUAGCGGUGAAAUGCGUAGAUAUAGGAAGGAACACCAGUGGCGAAGGCGACCACCUGGGCUCAUACUGACACUGAGGUGCGAAAGCGUGGGGAGCAAACAGG